UGGGGAAUCUUCCGCAAUGGACGAAAGUCUGACGGAGCAACGCCGCGUGUAUGAUGAAGGUCUUCGGAUUGUAAAGUACUGUCAUUGGGGAAGAACGGUUUUCUUGAAAAGAUUGAGAAGACAUGACGGUACCCAAGGAGGAAGCCCCGGCUAACUACGUGCCAGCAGCCGCGGUAAUACGUAGGGGGCAAGCGUUGUCCGGAAUUAUUGGGCGUAAAGGGCGCGUAGGCGGGCUUUUAAGUCCGGUGUGAAAGAUCAGGGCUCAACCCUGAGAGUGCAUCGGAAACUGGAGGCCUUGAGGACAGGAGAGGAAAGUGGAAUUCCACGUGUAGCGGUGAAAUGCGUAGAUAUGUGGAGGAACACCAGUGGCGAAGGCGACUUUCUGGACUGUAACUGACGCUGAGGCGCGAAAGCGUGGGGAGCAAACAGGAUUAGAUACCCUGGUAGUCCACGCCGUAAACGAUGAGUGCUAGGUGUAGAGGGUAUCGACCCCCUUCUGUGCCGCAGUUAACACAAUAAGGCACUCCCGCCUGGGGAGUACGGCCNCAAGGUUGAAACUCAAAGGAAUUGACGGGGUCAUAGCUGUUUUUCCCGU
rnacentral:rRNA from 1 species